UGGGAACCUUCCCUAUGGUUCGGAAUAGCUCAGGGAAACUUGGGGUAAUACCGGAUAAGCCCUUCGGGGAAAGAUUUAUCGCCAUUGGAUGGGCCCGCGUCGGAUUAGCUAGUUGGUGAGGUAACGUCUCACCAAGGCAACGAUCCGUAGCUGGUCUGAGAGGAUGAUCAGCCUCACUGGGACUGAGACACGGCCCAGACUCCUACGGGAGGCAG
rnacentral:rRNA from 1 species